rnacentral:rRNA from 1 species
UGGGGAAUUUUGGACAAUGGGCGCAAGCCUGAUCCAGCCAUGCCGCGUGCGGGAAGAAGGCCUUCGGGUUGUAAACCGCUUUUGUCAGGGAAGAAAUCUUCUGAGUUAAUACCUCGGGAGGAUGACGGUACCUGAAGAAUAAGCACCGGCUAACUACGUGCCAGCAGCCGCGGUAAUACGUAGGGUGCAAGCGUUAAUCGGAAUUACUGGGCGUAAAGCGUGCGCAGGCGGUUUUGUAAGACAGAGGUGAAAUCCCCGGGCUCAACCUGGGAACUGCCUUUGUGACUGCAAGGCUUGAGUGCGGCAGAGGGGGAUGGAAUUCCGCGUGUAGCAGUGAAAUGCGUAGAUAUGCGGAGGAACACCGAUGGCGAAGGCAAUCCCCUGGGCCUGCACUGACGCUCAUGCACGAAAGCGUGGGGAGCAAACAGGAUUAGAUACCCUGGUAGUCCACGCCCUAAACGAUGUCAACUGGUUGUUGGGAAGGUUCCUUCUCAGUAACGUAGCUAACGCGUGAAGUUGACCGCCUGGGGAGUACGGCCGCAAGGUUGAAACUAAAUGAAUUGACGGGGUCAUAGCUGUUU